rnacentral:rRNA from 1 species
UACGUAGGGUGCAAGCGUUAACCGGAAUUACUGGGCGUAAAGCGUUCGCAGGCGGCUUCGCAAGUCAGAUGUGAAAUCCCCGGGCUUAACCUGGGAACUGCAUUUGUGACUGCAUGGCUGGAGUGCGGCAGAGGGGGAUGGAAUUCCGCGUGUAGCAGUGAAAUGCGUAGAUAUGCGGAGGAACACCGAUGGCGAAGGCAAUCCCCUGGGCCUGCACUGACGCUCAUGCACGAAAGCGUGGGGAGCAAACAGG